rnacentral:rRNA from 1 species
AUUAGUAGAUUUUUUAUAAUACUUUGAAUUUUAAAAUAUUGUAAAUUUUACAUUAUUUCAUUUACUUAGUUUAUGUUAGACUGGUUAAUAAAACCAUAGCUACAAUCUUUGUAGUUUUUUCUGCUCUAUGAUUUUAAAUGGCUGUGGUUUUCACACUAAGGUAGCGAAAUCAUUAGCUAAUUAAUUGUUAGCUUGUAUGAAUGAAUUUUCUAAUAUAAAAUUAAUUUUUAUAUUUAAAUUAUAAUUUUGUUGAAAAUAACAAAAUUUUCUCUAAGACCAAAAGACCCUAAAAUUUUUAUGACUUUAAGGUUGUUUGGUUGGGGCAAUAAAUUAAAAAAAACAUAAGGAUUUAUUAUUAUUUUAGAACUUCUUUUAGAGAUAAAUUGAAAAAUACUUUAGGGAUAACAGCUUAAUUACUUUUUAUAGUUCUUAUUAAUAAAGUAGUUUGGGACCUCGAUGUUGGAUUGGGAAUUCUCUAGGGUGAAGAAGCUUUGGAUGGUAGACUGUUCGUCUAUUAAAUUUCCACAUGAUCUGAGUUAAAGUCGGCGUGAGCCAGACUGGAUUUUAUCUAGAGAUUAAAAAGUUUUGUAGGAUAGUACGAAAGGACCUUUUACUUAACAUAUUGUUAAAAAUUUUUUAUAGAGCUUUAA